rfam:Mycobacterium sp. SP-6446 contig_52, whole genome shotgun sequence.
CUUGAUCGACCCCAGCCACAGCGGUUCGGCCCGGUCUUGUCCAUAGGUCGCCAACAAGGCCUGCGCCUC